CUCAUUUGAAAUUUCAUAAAUAAAAAAGAAAAUUUCUUCAAACAUUUUUUUGAGAGGAUUAAUAUUCAACAGCAUAGUGAAUUGCUCUAAGAGAAAACAAAAAUUUUAAGUUCAUUAGAACACAUUCAUUCUGUGUCAGAAACCUAUGCUGUGUCAACUAUUUAAUCACAAUCCAAAUUUAGAGCUGAAUCCAGCUUGAAUGUUGUGUCCAUACUUGACCCAACCGUUCAG
rnacentral:lncRNA from 1 species